CCUACGGGAGGCUGCAGUGGGGAAUAUUGGACAAUGGGCGAAAGCCUGAUCCAGCCAUGCCGCGUGUGUGAAGAAGGCCUUCGGGUUGUAAAGCACUUUCAGUGGGGAAGAAAGCCUUGGGGCUAAUACCCUCGAGGAAGGACAUCACCCACAGAAGAAGCACCGGCUAACUCCGUGCCAGCAGCCGCGGUAAUACGGAGGGUGCGAGCGUUAAUCGGAAUUACUGGGCGUAAAGCGCGCGUAGGCGGUCUGAUAAGCCGGUUGUGAAAGCCCCGGGCUCAACCUGGGAACGGCAUCCGGAACUGUCAGGCUAGAGUGCAGGAGAGGAAGGUAGAAUUCCCGGUGUAGCGGUGAAAUGCGUAGAGAUCGGGAGGAAUACCAGUGGCGAAGGCGGCCUUCUGGACUGACACUGACGCUGAGGUGCGAAAGCGUGGGUAGCAAACAGGAUUAGAUAACCUGGUAGUC
rnacentral:rRNA from 1 species